rnacentral:lncRNA from 1 species
GUUGCCUGCUACACUCAUCUAGUUAAAAUUUCAGGACACUAAGUACUAGCUGCCUUUCAACAAUGAUGACAAAGAAAAGAUAUAUUCUCAUGUUUUCUUUCUAAAUCAAGUCUGAAUGUGCCAUUUUUCUCAAAGUACCAUCAUAGUUAAGAUUUAUAGCUCAGUUCUAUGUUCCAAGUUUAAGCACUAUGCGAGUUACUAAUGAUAAUACACUAAGCAAGUUUCUUUUGACAACCAAGGUCAACCAAAUUAAC